rnacentral:rRNA from 1 species
UGGGGAAUAUUGGGCAAUGGAGGAAACUCUGACCCAGCAAUGCCGCGUGAAUGAAGAAGGUCUUCGGAUUGUAAAGUUCUUUAGUCAGGGAAGAAAAAAAUGACGGUACCUGAAGAAUAAGCUCCGGCUAACUACGUGCCAGCAGCCGCGGUAAUACGUAGGGAGCAAGCGUUGUUCGGAAUGACUGGGCGUAAAGGGUGCGUAGGCGGUUGUACAAGUUAGAAGUGAAAUACCCAGGGCUUAACUCGGGUGCUGCUUCUAAAACUGUAUGACUUGAGUGCAGUAGAGGUUAGUGGAAUUCCU